UAACAAGGUUUUCCGUAGGGGAACCUGNUAANAGAUGCAUUGAAUAAGCAACCCCAGAUGCCAACUUUUAGGUUGCGUGCCGAAUAUGCGACCAAGNACAANGNCUGGCUUGGUUGACCAUGCUAGCCGGNGCGAUUGGUUGAGACUAAUACCNUUGUUUGGCCCAGUCGCUUUGGUUUGCACAGCUGUUGUGCUAACCACUGUCGAAAACCAAACUCCGAAGCUUUGAAUGCUGUUAACUGGCAAGCUUAAAUAAAGACAACUCUCAACAUCGGAUAUCUUGGCUCUCGGAACGUUGAAGAACGCAGGAAAUGGCAUACGUUGCGUGGUAGGCAGAAUUGCAGGAACCUGUGAAUCUUUGAAUGCAUAUUGCGCUCAGCCUCCUCGGGCGAGCACAUGCAUCUGCGUCUCAGCUUCGCUUCAUCCCCUCUCCCCUCUCUGAAUUUGGAGGGCUGGUCAACUUCUAGCUUGAGGGGAGGGGUGGAUCUGGCUUUCCCAAUUGUGUCACUCCGAUUGGGGUGGCUGAAGCAUAGGCUUAAGCAGACGCCUAUAUGGGCUUCAACUGGAUAGACCUGCACCGGCUUCUGCCGACUACACGAACUCCGCGUUGACACUUUGCUGGAGGUCAACUAGAAAGAUGCCUUGCAUGACCUAAACUUUAUACCUAAUGCUCACGAAAGGCUACCCGCUGAACUUAAGCAUAUCA
rnacentral:misc_RNA from 1 species